CAACUUUUAGCAACGGAUCUCUUGGCUCUCGCAUCGAUGAAGAACGCAGCGAAAUGCGAUAAGUAAUGUGAAUUGCAGAAUUCAGUGAAUCAUCGAAUCUUUGAACGCACCUUGCGCUCCUUGGUAUUCCGAGGAGCAUGCCUGUUUGAGUGUCAUGA
rnacentral:rRNA from 2 species